AACGUGUGAGAGCAUUCAUAUGUUACGUUACAAAAUUAUAACUUUGUUCCGCUAGACAAUUAUUUAUUCGUGAGACCAACAAAGAGAAAGCCAUGGUGAUAACUUGAGUCACACUUACCAUAGCAUGACGACAGUUUCAAGGGGGUCCUCACAACCCAAAUCCACAACUCUUCAGUGCCACCUUCGGAGGGACAACUCAUUCUGGAAGAUUGUGACGCGGCUGCUGCUCACAACACCAUAAGUUGGCAUCUCAGCCAAUCUAUGCACCAAUCAAGGCUUGACCUGUACAGAGACAGCUUACAUUUAGGCGACAUCAAUACAAUAACACCCAUAGAUUCAUACCAGAUGUCAGGAGGUGGUGGGGCAAAAGGAUUGACCGUCUCAAGCUCUCUCCAAUGAUCUGAUCAUGGGGUAGCAGUCUAAUAAACAACCAAUCAAAAAGAAAAUUGAGAACGAAAUUAUAUGUAAUAACAAAAGAUCGAGGAUGAUAUAUAUA
rnacentral:lncRNA from 1 species